CCCUCUCUACCUAUUUUUCUUCCCUCUUCUCACCCCCUCUCACUGCUCCUCUCUCUCCGUGCUCUCCGUCCGGCGACCCACCGUCUGGCAAGCUAACCACAAUUCUUACCUUCCCUCUUCUCUUCUCGCCUCUCCUCUUCCCUUCGAACGCUUCUGCCCCCCCAGCUCUCGUCACUGCCACAGAGAGAAGCUGAAUCUCUCUGCCCUGCAUCGUUCCGCCGUUCGCGCCACUCUAUGCGCCACCGCGAGCUCAGCCAGCCACCACCAACUCUGGGCGGCACUACUUCUGCUCUUCUUCCCCUUUCCAUUUCCCAGUCUGUCUCUGCUACAUUCCAGCUCUGAGGGAUAUUUCUUUGCAUUUUGAUCAUUCCCUCUUGAUGUGGGAGUUCUAGUGCAAGUGGGGUUUUCCCUUUUUUCUGGGAUUUUGAAGUGGAAGUGGGAGUUCGAGUGAUUUGGAUUAUACCCGAGAGAAGGGGCUGGUUGAUGCAGCUUUUGUUUAAAUAAUUAAAAGUUCAUUUAUGCUCAGUUUUGAAUAUGCUGCCUGAUCAGGGAAAAAAGGCAGUCAAUGACAAGCAAAAUGAAGCCAUCACAGCUGCAUCUAAUGAGUUGGCCAAAAGAAAAAGCGAUCUUGAAGAAAAUUUAAAACUUUCACAUGAUUUAAAAGUAAGUAUAGUUUCAUAAUGAUCUUAGGCUUUCUAUUUCUUGUAUUUGUAAUUUUCUUGUUCUGAUACUUACUGGAAACUAUUUAACUGGGUUGAUGGAUUCUCACGCUCAUACAUAGCUGCUGCCUCUUCAGAAGUUGUUAAUACAAAAUACUGACUUCAUGUG